rnacentral:rRNA from 1 species
UCAGCCAGUCUUACCAUCCCAGACACUCCUUAUUCCUUCUGAUCUUAGCAGUCAAGCGGGUCAGGCAUGUUUAGUACUUGGAUGAGAGUUUCUGUGGAUUUUCAUCGAGGUAAGACAUAUUGCUAGAA